rnacentral:rRNA from 1 species
AGAGUUUGAUCCUGGCUCAGAACGAAUGCUGGCGGCGUGCCUAAGACAUGCAAGUCGUGCGAGAAAAGGGCUUCGGCCCCUAGUACAGCGGCGCACGGGUGAGUAACGCGUGGGUAACCUACCUCGAAGUCUGGAAUAACUCGGGGAAACCUGAGCUAAUACCGGAUGAGCCCACGAGGCCCUCGGGUCAUGUGGGAAAAGAUGGCCUCUGCUUGCAAGCUAUCGCUACGAGAUGAGCCCGCGUCCCAUUAGCUAGUUGGCGAGGUAACGGCUCACCAAGGCGACGAUGGGUAGCUGGUCUGAGAGGACGAUCAGCCACACUGGAACUGAGACACGGUCCAGACUCCUACGGGAGGCAGCAGUCGGGAAUAUUGGGCAAUGGGCGCAAGCCUGACCCAGCGACGCCGCGUGAGGGAUGAAGGCCUUCGGGUCGUAAACCUCUGUCGGGAGGGAAGAACGGCGGUGGGAUGAACAAUUUCACUGUCUGACGGUACCUCCAAAGGAAGCGCCGGCUAACUCCGUGCCAGCAGCCGCGGUAAUACGGAGGGCGCAAGCGUUGUUCGGAAUCACUGGGCGUAAAGCGCGUGUAGGCGGCCGGGCAAGUCGGAUGUGAAAUCCCGAGGCUCAACCUCGGAACUGCACUCGAAACUGCUCGGCUCGAGUCCCGGAGAGGAUGGCGGAAUUCCCGGUGUAGGGGUGAAAUCCGUAGAUAUCGGGAGGAACACCAGUGGCGAAGGCGGCCAUCUGGACGGUGACUGACGCUGAGACGCGAAAGCGUGGGGGGGCAAACAGGAUUAGAU